rnacentral:rRNA from 1 species
UCCUGGCUCAGGACGAACGCUGGCGGCGCGCYUAACACAUGCAAGUCGAGCGAUGAAAGUGGAACUGAUUCCUUCGGGAUGACGAUUCACCGGAUUAGCGGCGAACGGGUGAGUAACGCGUGAGAAACCUACCUAUCACAAGGGGAUAGCCUCGGGAAACUGGGAUUAAUACCCUAUGAGACUCCAGUGUCGAGUGACACAGAAGUUAAAGUGAUUUAGCGGUGAUAGAUGGUCUCGCGUCUGAUUAGCUAGUUGGUAAGGUAMCGGCUUACCAAGGCAACGAUCAGUAACCGGCCUGAGAGGGUGAACGGUCACAUUGGAACUGAGACACGGUCCAAACUCCUACGGGAGGCAGCAGUGGGGAAUCUUGCACAAUGGAGGCAACUCUGAUGCAGCGACGCCGCGUGAGCGAUGAAGGCUUUCGAGUCGUAAAGCUCUGUCCUAUGGGAAGAUAAUGACGGUACCAUAGGAGGAAGCCCCGGCUAACUACGUGCCAGCAGCCGCGGUAAUACGUAGGGGGCGAGCGUUGUCCGGAAUUACUGGGCGUAAAGGGUUCGCAGGCGGUUUGGCAAGUCUGGUGUAAAAGGCAAGGGCUCAACCCUUGUAAGCAUCGGAAACUGUCAAACUUGAGUAAAGGAGAGGUAAGUGGAAUUCCUAGUGUAGCGGUGGAAUGCGUAGAUAUUAGGAGGAAUACCAGUGGCGAAGGCGACUUACUGGACUUUAACUGACGCUA